UACGGAGGAUGCGAGCGUUAUCCGGAUUUAUUGGGUUUAAAGGGUGCGUAGGCGGCUUUUUAAGUCAGCGGUGAAAUUUUGCAGCUUAACUGUAACAGUGCCGUUGAUACUGGGGAGCUAGGAUUUGGUUGCUGUGGGUGGAAUGUGCGGUGUAGCGGUGAAAUGCUUAGAGAUCACACAAAAUAUCGAUUGCGAAGGCAGCUCACAAAGCCAAGAUUGACGCUGAGGCACGAAAGUGUGGGGAUCAAACAGGAUUAGA
rnacentral:rRNA from 1 species